GCGGCGGGACCUACAGGAAGUGUGUAGCGACGCCCGCGGAAGGCGCUCGACCCGCGGCGCUCGCUGCCCUCCGGGGGCGAGGGCCAGCCUCCCGCCGCGGACACGCGCAGCACUGAGCCGGCCGAGCUCGGCCCCCGCCGCUCCGACAGGUGUUGAGAAUCAACCCAGGUCCCCUGGAAGAGCAGCUAGUGACCACUAACCACUGAGCUAUCUCUCCAGCCCUGCUUUUUCAGCCAUUCUUUAUCUCUGUUUGCCCCAGAGAACUUGUGGAUUCCUUACCUGCAAAACAAGGGGCAAGAAGCCAAGCUCUGAAGUGGAAAGAAACUGCCACAGAAAAACAUUCUAAAAGGCAUCUUCAGCUGUCUCAUGAUGCUUGGGCUGGAGAGUUUCAUGUCAACUUCACACAAGCUGGGGUUGCUGCAGGCUGCAGGAAAACAUGAUGGAAUCCAGCUACUAUCACAAAAGCUACUACUUGGAAAAGUCAGGGACUUCUCCAAAGGUCAAGCCAUGGCUUAAGAAGUCGUGGUGAUAUUUUAGCUUUUAUAUAUAUGGUUCCUAAAAUGGUUUUCUUGCAUGCUUCCAAGAACUCCUAACAGUGUAUUUAUCUAAAAUGCCUAUCAAGCAUCCAAGGCCAUACGAAACAACACCUGUCUCCUAGGUCAGGCGGAUAGCUUUAUUUCUUGUGCAAUUUAGGGUGAGACCCUCCUUUCUGAUACAACCUUACUAAAAGGAAUGUAGACUGAGCACAUAGAUCCAUUUUGAUAUACUAACCGGUCAGUUGACCUCCUCUUUUACCACUCCCAUACUGUUUUAAGUAAAUUUGCCAUUUUGUUGGGCUGCAUUCACAGCUAUCACAGUUGUAAAAGAAGGCCUGACAGUCACUACCAGAGGAAAAUUCUUACCUACCUUUAUGACCCCGUAGAAUUCAAGCCUGGUGACUUUGCUGGGCCAGAGAUUUGCUAUUGCUUGGGUUUAUAACUGGAUUCCAGAGAGACUUAAAAUGAGGAGAAGAGAAAAGAGAAUGGAAGAACUAGAUGGGUAAGAACUUGAGAGGAACAAACUGAGAUGGGGAAGAACUAGAUUGAAGGGCAAGAAGAGAGGACUAGAGGAACGAGAUGGAAGAUGAGGAAGAGCCAGAUGGGGAAGAACAAGAUGAGAAAGAAGGAGAUGAGAGAGGAGCUAGGAUGGAAAAGAACUAGAUGGAUGAGAACCUAGAUGGGGCAGAACUAAUAUGAGAGAAUGAAGAUAGAACUUAGAGGAGACAGCAGAUUAAUGUAGGGAGAAAUCAAGCAAGAAAGGAGCUAGGCAUGAGAGCAGAAUAGAAGCUAUGUAGAGAGAGAACUGACUCAGAAGAAUAAAGUGUAUGGACUGAGGAGUUUUGUGUACAUAAAUUCAUUUCUUUUCAUUAAAGACUAAUUAUCAACUGGUUGUAGAUUCUUCCCAGACUCUGAGAGGGAACUAUCAAGGGGCUGGACCCCCAUAGUCCUUGAUAUGGUAUCAUCUGAGAGGAGGGACCUCAAUUAAGAAAAUGCCUCCAGCCAAGUGGUGGUGGCACAUGCCUUUAAUCCCAGCACUUGGGAGGCAAAGGCAGGUGGAUCUCUGUGAGUUCGGGGCCAGCCUGAUCUACAGAGCUAGUUCUAGGACAGCCAAGGCUGCACAAAGAAACCCUGCCUUGAAAAGUAAAUAUAAAACAAAGAAAAUCCCUCCAUAACAUUAGGUUGUAGGCAGGCCUGUUGUUGGAGGUUUUUGAUCUCUGCUCUUUUUUGGGGGGUUCGCCAUCCAGCUCCCAAAUAAAUCACAUACAGAGGCUUAUUCUUACUUAUGAAUGCCCAGCCUUAGCUUGGCUUAGUUUCUUGCCAGCUUUCCUUAACUUAUUCCGACUACCUUUUGCCUCUGGGUUUUUCUCUAACUUCUGUAAAUCUUAUUCUUACUCGGUGGCUUGCUGUGUAGCUGGGUGGCUAACCCCUAGAGAUCUCCUCCUCCUUCUCUGGCUCCUAGCUCUCCCUUUUCCAGAUUUCUCCCUGUAUAUAUUCUUUCUGCCUACCAGCCCCACCUAUCCUUUCUCCUGCCUUGCUAUUGGCCAGUUCUUUAUUAUACCAUCAGGUGUUUUAGACAGGCACAGUAACACAGCUUCACAGAUCUAAACAUAUGCAGCAUAAGCAAAAGUAACACACCUUAAAAUAAUAUUCUACUACACAGGCCUGUAAGGCAUUUUCUCAAUUAGUAAUUGGUGGGGGAGCACCCAGCACAUUGUAGGUGGUGCCAUCCUUGGCCUGGUGGUUCUUAGUUCUAUAAGAAAGUAGGCAGAGAAAGCCAUUGGGAUUAAUCCAGUAAGCAGUUCUCCUCCAUGGCCUCUGUAUUAGCUCCUGCUUCCAGGUUCCUGCAUGGGUUUUUGUCCUGCUUGAGUUCCUGUCCUGACUUCCUUUGAUGGUGGACUAUGAUGUGGAAGUAUAAACCGAAUAAACCCUUUCCUCCCCAACUUGCUUGGUCAUGGUGUUCAUCACAGCACCAGUGACCCUGACUAAGACAGUGCCGGGAAGAGUUUCUACAUAGGAGUGUGGUCCUGGUUACACACCAGUGUCUCAACUGAGACUGAUCAUGAACCAAAGUCAGAGCAAAAGCAAAUCAGAAUGGUCCCACCAAUGCCUCCAAUUCAGCCUUCAACUACGUCUGUCCCUGGUUGAUGAAGUUCCAAUAUUCUGCCUGCCAAAUAUAAAUCUUUGGUAAAGGAGCUUUUCAAAUUUUUCCUACAUAAUAUCUGGUACCCUACCAAUAAUUAAUCAUAUAUAACAAGAAAAAAGAAUGAAAACAAAAUGAAAAGAGGACAGUGAAAACAUGCACACAUGUCCCAGCUGUCCUGGUCAUUAGCUAGAACCUGUAGAAUAGUUGUGAUUAAUAUGAUCAAGACAUACAGGACGGAAUGGAGGCUUUCACUACAUUUAAAAAUAAUUUAAAUGUAGUGAAAUGUGGGAUUUAAAAAUAAUCAAAUAGAGCCCACUGGGGACAUUUCAACCAAAACCACAGUAGACGCCGGUGUGCAUCCACGAAGAUGAUGAUGAUGGCAGAGGCAGUCGAAGCGCUGGUGAGAAGGUGGGAUACCAGAGGUGGGGUACCAGAACUCCAGUUUGGUGCUAGCAGGGUUCUGUGAACUUUGGAAAACAUGGCAGUCCUGCAAAAGGUUAAACAAAAUUCCCAUACAACACUGCAGAACUUCUGGCCAAGAAAAAUUGUAGCAGCACAAAUAAUUUACAUGAAUGAAUAUUCAGAGGCAACAUUAUUCAUAGUAACCCCAAACUGGGAAGAACUCAGUUGUCCAUCAGUUUAUGAAGGGGUGAGUGUUGUACUAGUUGAUAGUAAAAAGGAAUGAAGUAGUAUUUGUUGUGGUUUUUGUUACAGGUUUGUUUUAUUUGACUAUAAGCCACAAUGGUGACUUUCUAGAGCCAUGACCAAAAGUUAGACUCAGGUGUCAAUUAGGAGAGCUAUGAGGUACAAUCAAAAUGAGUAAAACACAAAUUUAUUAUUCUUGGAUCUCAAGAAGGUUGGAGGUGCUGGCAGGAGGCUAACAAAUCUAGUGAGAUCAGGAAACUUAACUAGCGGGCAAGAAAGAGGCAGAAAGGAAGGAAAUUGGACUGAAGAAGUGGUUCAGUGGUUGAGAGCACUUGUUGCUCUUGCAAAAGACCUAGGAUUGGUUCCAGAACCCACAUGGUGACUCGAAACCAUCUCUAACUUGUUCCAGGGAACCUGAUGCCCUCUUCUGACCUUCAUGGGGACCAGGCACACACAUGGUACACAUAUACACAACACUCAUAAAAUUAAGUGAUUUUUUAAAAAAAUUAAAUCUUUGGUAACGAGGAAAUUCCACGGAGUCUAUCUGAUAAUCAAAGGGAUUUAUUCUGUGUUAACUCACAGCAAGCACAAAGGAGCUAGUCUCGGGAUCCAGGAGGGUGGGGCUCAGUCCAAUGCAGUUCUCUGGAGAACUCUGCCUUGAUCUGCAGCACCAGCAUCCAAGACCACAAGGUAGUCAAGAGAGAGCAAGCAGUCUAGGUCUUCAGGGGUCCCUGUCUCAGUGAUUCCCCAGGCGGGGGCAGGUUCCUAGCAGUUAUCUGCUGCCUACUAGGGCGGUGCUUUAGGGUACAAACAACCACCCCUACCUUUUGGUGCUGUGUUUGUUAAAAUAUGUCCACGGUCAUAUUUUAGACUUCACUGAGGGCUUAUGUGUAAGCCCCUUGAGCCUCAGGAGUGGCCAGGCCUCUCUCACCAAGGACCUCCAAAUGCCGAGUUCCACCAACAGAACACUAACUGCCAUAACUUCUGGACCCUGCCCCAACCCUACCGAGUAAAAAAACCCAAUCUCUGGACAUGAAAUCCCUCCAAUCUCUACCCUGGAGAGUUCCACCCUAAGAAGUUCCACCCCCUUCCCAAUAAACCCUAUAUAAGCCCUGUAUCCUGUUCAGUGCUCUGCUGUUUCUCACCUGAGCAGAGGCAGCCUCCUAGGUUUUUUUUUCCCUCCCAAUAAACCUCAUGUGUGAGGUUUGUUGUGCAGUGUAACCUUGUAGUAUUCCUUGGCUCCCUGCUGCCAGGAUACCUUUCCAUCCAACCUGUAAUGCUUAUAUUGGGUGCUGUAACUCAGAUAGACUCUCCUAGUGCCUGCAUUUCCCCUCAUGGUCUAAGCUUGCACUGAGACCCUAUUCCUCAUCUCCAGUCUAUCCACAACAGACUCACCUUCUGGCUCAGCACUCCAUCCACCAACAACAAUUAGGUAAGUUUUCCCUUUGGUCAGUGUAAAUGUUUCCCUGAGUCUGAGGAAGUAAUUGUUGAGUGUCUGGUACCCCUCUGAUACUCUUGGAAGUAGAGGUACUGUUAGGAUCCGCAGAUCACCCCACAAAAGACCAUCAUUCAUGUAUGCAAAAGCAAGAGCAUUUAGCCGGGCGGUGGUGGCACACGCCUUUAAUCCCAGCACUCGGGAGGCAGAGGCAGGUGGA